UACGGAGGGUGCAAGCGUUAAUCGGAAUUACUGGGCGUAAAGCGUGCGCAGGCGGUUAUGUAAGACAGGUGUGAAAUCCCAGGGCUUAACCUUGGAACUGCAUUUGUGACUGCAUAGCUAGAGUACGGUAGAGGGGGAUGGAAUUCCGCGUGUAGCAGUGAAAUGCGUAGAUAUGCGGAGGAACACCGAUGGCGAAGGCAAUCCCCUGGACCUGUACUGACGCUCAUGCACGAAAGCGUGGGGAGCAAACAGG
rnacentral:rRNA from 1 species